rnacentral:rRNA from 1 species
GUCGUAACAAGGUUUCCGUAGGUGAACCUGCGGAAGGAUCAUUACUGAUUUGCUUAAUUGCACCACAUGUGUUUUUCUUUGAAACAAACUUGCUUUGGCGGUGGGCCCAGCCUGCCGCCAGAGGUCUAAACUUACAACCAAUUUUUUAUCAACUUGUCACACCAGAUUAUUACUAAUAGUCAAAACUUUCAACAACGGAUCUCUUGGUUCUCGCAUCGAUGAAGAACGCAGCGAAAUGCGAUACGUAAUAUGAAUUGCAGAUAUUCGUGAAUCAUCGAAUCUUUGAACGCACAUUGCGCCCUCUGGUAUUCCGGAGGGCAUGCCUGUUUGAGCGUCGUUUCUCCCUCAAACCGCUGGGUUUGGUGUUGAGCAAUACGACUUGGGUUUGCUUGAAAGACGGUAGUGGUAAGGCGGGAUCGCUUUGACAAUGGCUUAGGUCUAACCAAAAACAUUGCUUGCGGCGGUAACGUCUACCACGUAUAUCUUCAAACUUUGACCUCAAAUCAGGUAGGACUACCCGCUGAACUUAAGCAUAUCAAUAA